CAGGACGUAGUUAAGACAGAAAAACAUCUCCCUUACACUGAGGAAUCACCCGUGCAAGUCGGGUCGCCCUGA
rnacentral:tRNA from 1 species